rnacentral:rRNA from 1 species
AGCAUAUCAAUAAGCGGAGGAAAAGAAACCAACAGGGAUUUCCCUAGGAACGGCGAGUGAAGCGGCAACAGCUCAAAUUUGAAAUCUGGCUUCGGCCCGAGUUGUAAUUUGCAGAGGAAGCUUUAGGCGCGGCACCUUCUGAGUCCCCUGGAACGGGGCGCCAUAGAGGGUGAGAGCCCCGUAUAGUUGGAUGCCUAGCCUGUGUAAAGCUCCUUCGACGAGUCGAGUAGUUUGGGAAUGCUGCUCAAAAUGGGAGGUAAAUUUCUUCUAAAGCUAAAUACCGGCCAGAGACCGAUAGCGCACAAGUAGAGUGAUCGAAAGAUGAAAAGCACUUUGAAAAGAGGGUUAAAUAGCACGUGAAAUUGUUGAAAGGGAAGCGCUUGUGACCAGACUUGCGCCGGGCGGAUCAUCCGGUGUUCUCACCGGUGCACUCCGCCCGGCUCAGGCCAGCAUCGGUUCUCGCGGGGGGAUAAAGGUCUCGGGAACGUAGCUCCUCCGGGAGUGUUAUAGCCCGGGGCGUAAUGCCCUCGCGGGGACCGAGGUUCGCGCAUCUGCAAGGAUGCUGGCGUAAUGGUCAUCAGCGACCCGUCUUGAAACACGGACCAAGGAGUCAAGGUUUUGCGCGAGUGUUUGGGUGUAAAACCCGCACGCGUAAUGAAAGUGAACGUAGGUGAGAGCUUCGGCGCAUCAUCGACCGAUCCUGAUGUUUUCGGAUGGAUUUGAGUAGGAGCGUUAAGCCUUGGACCCGAAAGAUGGUGAACUAUGCUUGGAUAGGGUGAAGCCAGAGGAAACUCUGGUGGAGGCUCGCAGCGGUUCUGACGUGCAAAUCGAUCGUCAAAUCUGAGCAUGGGGGCGAAAGACUAAUCGAACCAUCUAGUAGCUGGUUACCGCCGAAGU